ACUCGUUCUGUCGCCUGCUAACCUGUGAAGAAGUGCCUUCCGCCAUGAUUGUGUUUUCUGAGGCCUCUCCAGACAUGAGAAACUUUUAUUUUUAUGAAUUUCAGCCAAGGAGUUGUCACCCUCCUAAAGCACUACAAUUAAAUCUAGAUUGCUAUUCCCAUCUGAGUAUUUAUGACACUUCCUGAGUACAUAAAUAUUCAUGAGUGCAAAUCAAAUUUUGCAGUUAUCAUCCAAAUUAAAAGAUUCAACACCCCUUCAGAAGAAAAUAUGCUGUGAAAAUAUACUUUUUAAAGUUUAGUUCCUUCGAUGUAGAAGAUAAAGCUUCAAAAGAGAAUUGAAAUUUAUGGAACUUAAUUUUUUGUUUGUAUUCAGCAGAGAACAAAGAAACCAAGACUGAUUCUAAAUGUCCCUGUUUCUAGAAAGGAAUAAAAUUUGCUUCUGUCACCACUUCAGGCGAGCCUCUCACAACCCCCCAACUGCACACUCCA